AGCGAACGCUGGCGGCAGGCCUAACACAUGCAAGUCGAACGGACCCUUCGGGGUUAGUGGCGGACGGGUGAGUAACACGUGGGAACGUGCCUUUUGGUUCGGAACAACUCAGGGAAACUUGAGCUAUUACCGAAUGUGCCCUUCGGGGGAAAGAUUUAUCGCCAUUAGAGCGGCCCGCGUCUGAUUAGCUUGUUGGGGAGGUAAUGGCUCACCAAGGCGACGAACAGUAGCUGGUCUGAGAGGAUGAUCAGCCACAUUGGGACUGAGACACGGCCCAAACUCCUACGGGAGGCAGCAGUGGGAAAUCUUGCGCAAUGGGCGAAAGCCUGACGCAGCCAUGCCGCGUGAAUGAUGAAGGUCUUAGGAUUGUAGAAUUCUUUCACCGGGGACGAUAAUGACGGUACCCGGAGAAGAAGCCCCGGCUAACUUCGUGCCAGCAGCCGCGGUAAAAC
rnacentral:rRNA from 1 species